rnacentral:rRNA from 1 species
UACGAGGGGGGCAAGCGUUUGUUCGGAAUUAUUGGGCGUAAAGGGCGCGUAGGCGGUUUGACAAGUCUGAUGUGAAAUCUAUGGGCUCAACCCAUAGCCUGCAUUAGAAACUGUCGGGCUUGAGUAUGGGAGAGGUGAGUGGAAUUUCCGGUGUAGCGGUGAAAUGCGUAGAUAUCGGAAGGAACACCUGUGGCGAAAGCGGCUCACUGGACCAUAACUGACGCUGAGGCGCGAAAGCUAGGGGAGCAAACAGGG